GAUGAACGCUGGCGGCGUGCCUAAUACAUGCAAGUCGAGCGAACGGACGAGAAGCUUGCUUCUCUGAUGUUAGCGGCGGACGGGUGAGUAACACGUGGAUAACCUACCUAUAAGACUGGGAUAACUUCGGGAAACCGGAGCUAAUACCGGAUAAUAUUUUGAACCGCAUGGUUCAAAAGUGAAAGACGGUCUUGCUGUCACUUAUAGAUGGAUCCGCGCUGCAUUAGCUAGUUGGUAAGGUAACGGCUUACCAAGGCAACGAUGCAUAGCCGACCUGAGAGGGUGAUCGGCCACACUGGAACUGAGACACGGUCCAGACUCCUACGGGAGGAAGCAGUAGGGAAUCUUCCGCAAUGGGCGAAAGCCUGACGGAGCAACGCAGCGUGAGUGAUGAAGGUCUUCGGAUCGUAAAACUCUGUUAUUAGGGAAGAACAUAUGUGUAAGUAACUGUGCACAUCUUGAAGGUACCUAAUCAGAAAGCCACGGCUAACUACGUG
rnacentral:rRNA from 1 species